UAUUCUCCUUCACUUCACUUCUCCUUCUGUACUCUCUUCUCUUCUCUCUUCAUCGAACCCCCAGCUUAUGAAAUCCACCUUUUUCUUAGUUGUUAUACGAUUCAAACCCUAAAUCGAUUCAAACCCUAUGAAAUCGUCUCCUUCUCCUGUCGUCGAGCAAUUGAACGGUCGAAGAAAACCCUAGAUCAACAGAUCGUCUAUUUUGGGGACAGAGUUAUCCUGGAGGAACCUAUAGAGAGGUGGCCAAUAUGUGACUGUUUGAUUGCUUUUCAUUCCUCUGGAUAUGGAUAUCUGCUUGAGAAGGCUGAAGCUUAUGCUGCACUAAGGAAGAGUGCACGGUGCAAGUUAGUGAACGUAAACAUACAAAAUAAAGGAAUAAACUGGAGUUCAGAUAAAAAUCUCUAUUAGAAGCAUGAUCUUCAGCGGUUUGAGGCAUUAAAAGUCAUACUGCAUGGAAACGCUGAAUUUGAGGCUGUUGAUGUUAACCUCGAGGGAAAUCAUGUGUUUAUUGGCGGUAGUCUCAGAGGAGCUUGAAGCAGAGCUUGUGUUUAUUUUUUUAACGUUUAACCUACCUCUCAAAGUGACGCUUAUAUCUAAUUUUCAGGAACCUCAAAAAGUACUUCAACCAGUAGACAAGACUUUAAAGACUAUGGCUACCGAAUUUGUUGGGUACCAAGUAAUCUUUUUUUUAGGGAAAUAACUUUUAGUAUGUUGUUUUCAUAUAUCUAUUUUUAACAUUUUCAGGUCUCAGGUAUUUCUUACUACUCAAAGUUAUGUUAACAUUGCUUCCAUAUCUGUCACACCCCAACCACGUAAAACAACAAAACGUGGCAGAAACGUCGGGGAGUGUUGUAACAGAAUUAUCGUUUAUAACCAUGGAUACAA